rnacentral:rRNA from 1 species
GACGUAGGGCGCGAGCGUUGUUCGGAUUCAUUGGGCGUAAAGGGUGCGUAGGCGGCGUGGUAAGUCGGGUGUGAAAUCUCGGAGCUUAACUCCGAAACUGCAUUCGAUACUGCCGUGCUUGAGGACUGGAGAGGAGACUGGAAUUUACGGUGUAGCGGUGAAAUGCGUAGAUAUCGUAAGGAAGACCAGUGGCGAAGGCGGGUCUCUGGACAGUUCCUGACGCUGAGGCACGAAGGUCAGGGGAGCAAACGGG